UGAGUGCGAGCUGCUACGGCAGCGAAGUUGGUGAUGUCAUGCUUCCAAGAAAAGCCCUAUACCCGUUAAGGCAUCAUGGCCUGUACCCGAAACCGACACAGGUGGGGUGGUAGAGAAUACCGAGGGGCGCGAGGUAACUCUCUCUAAGGAACUCGGCAAAUGGCCCCGUAACUUCGGGAGAAGGGGUGCCACCGCAAGGUGGUCGCAGUGAAGAGGCCCAGGGGACUGUUUACCAAAAACACAGGUCUCCGCUAAGUCGCAAGACGAUGUAUGGGGGCUGACGCCUGCCCAGUGCCGGAAGGUUAAGGAAGCUGGUCAGCGCAAGCGAAGCUAGCGACUGAAGCCCCGGUGAACGGCGGCCGUAACUAUAACGGUCCUAAGGUAGCGAAAUUCCUUGUCGGGUAAGUUCCGACCCGCACGAAAGGCGUAACGAUCUGGGCGCUGUCUCGGAGAGAGGCUCGGCGAAAUAGAAUUGUCUGUGAAGAUGCGGACUACGUGCACCCGGACAGAAAGACCCUAUGAAGCUUUACUGUAGCUUGGUAUUGUGCCCGGGCUCGCAAUGCGCAGGAUAGGUGGGAGGCUUUGAUCAUCGGCUUGCGGGUCGAUGUGAGCCAACGGUGAGAUACCACUCUUUGCGAGCUAGGGUUCUAACGGCCACCCGUCAUCCGGGGGCCGGACAGUACCUGGUGGGCAGUUUGACUGGGGCGGUCGCCUCCUAAAAGGUAACGGAGGCGCGCAAAGGUUUGCUCAGGCUGGUUGGAAAUCAGCCGACGAGUGUAAAAGCAGAAGCAAGCUUGACUGUGAGACCAACAAGUCGAACAGGGAGGAAACUCGGCUUUAGUGAUCCGACGGUUCUGAGUGGAAGGGCCGUCGCUCAACGGAUAAAAGUUACUCUAAGGAUAACAGGCUGAUCUCCCCCAAGAGUUCACAUCGACGGGGAGGUUUGGCACCUCGAUGUCGGCUCAUCGCAACCUGGGGCUGAAGUCGGUCCCAAGGGUUGGGCUGUUCGCCCAUUAAAGCGGUACGCGAGCUGGGUUCAGAACGUCGUGAGACAGUUCGGUCCAUAUCCGGUGCACGCGCAGGAAUAUUGAGAGGAUUUCUCCCUAGUACGAGAGGACCGGGAGGAACGCACCUCUGGUGUACCAGUUAUCGUGCCAACGGUAAACGCUGGGUAGCCAUGUGCGGAGUGGAUAACCGCUGAAAGCAUCUAAGUGGGAAGCCCACCUCAAGAUGAGUAUUCCCAUGGCGUAAGCCAGUAAGGUCACGGGAAGAACACCCGUUGAUAGGCUCUAUGUGGAAGCGCAGUAAUGCGUGAAGCAGAGGAGUACUAAUAGACCGAGGGCUUGACCA
rnacentral:rRNA from 1 species